UGGCGGACGGGUGAGUAACACGUGAGCAACCUACCCUUGACUCUGGGAUAACAGUUGGAAACAGCUGCUAAUACCGGAUACGACCCCGGCGGGCAUCUGCUGGGGUGGAAAGCUCCGACGGCCAGGGAUGGGCUCGCGGCCUAUCAGCUUGUUGGUGAGGUAACGGCUCACCAAGGCGACGACGGGUAGCCGGCCUGAGAGGGCGACCGGCCACAUUGGGACUGAGAUACGGCCCAAACUCCUACGGGAGGCAGCAGUGGGGAAUAUUGCGCAAUGGGCGGAAGCCUGACGCAGCAACGCCGCGUGCGGGAUGACGGCCUUCGGGUUGUAAACCGCUUUCAGCAGGGACGAAGCUUUUGUGACGGUACCUGCAGAAGAAGCACCGGCUAACUACGUGCCAGCAGCCGCGGUAAU
rnacentral:rRNA from 1 species